rnacentral:rRNA from 1 species
GAUGAACGCUGGCGGCGUGCUUAACACAUGCAAGUCGAACGGAAAGGCCCAAGCUUGCUUGGGUGCUCGAGUGGCGAACGGGUGAGUAACACGUGGGUGAUCUGCCCUGCACUUCGGGAUAAGCCUGGGAAACUGGGUCUAAUACCGGAUAGGACGAUGGUUUGGAUGCCAUUGGGGAAAGUGUUUUCGGUGUGGGAUGAGCGCGCGGCCUAUCAGCUUGUUGGUGGGGUGGUGGCCUACCAAGGCGUCGACGGGUGGCCGGCCUGAGAGGGUGUACGGCCGCAAUGGGGCUGCGAUGCGGCCCAGACUCCUACGGGGGGCAGCAGUAGGGAAUAUUGCACCAUGGGGGCAAGCCGGAUGCAGCGACGCCGCGUGGGGGGUGACGGCCUUCGGGUUGUAAACUCCUUUCGCUAGGGGCGAAGCGGUUUUGUGACGGUUCCUGGGGAAGAAGAACCGGCUAACUACGUG